GUUGAAAAUUUAUUUCUUACACUUUUUGUAACAAUGAUAUCUAAUUCUCAUCACAUAAACUUAAGUGAAUAUUUGUACAAUUGAGAAUUUUGAACUGGUGGAAAUUUUCUUAACCUCUGACGGUUGUCAAACUUCUGUAACCUCACUUAUGCCAGGAGAAUGAAUGACGUGAACUGUUCGAUGAAUUAUGGAAGACUGGCUACCUAGAAGCCGUACACUAGUUUUUAUAAAUGAAAAACAAAACACUAGGUUGUCAUGGAGAUAUAAAUUUGGAAUUUCAUGAAAUUUUUACUUCAAAAUAGUGCCUUUAUGCGUGUACUAUACAACAUGACACUGAUGUAUUUGACUUCUACACAUUUUUCUGAAAAUUUUGAUAUCUAAUUCUUUAUAUUACGAUGACAUUUGAGGUACACCGUUCUUUGACAUUCCGUAAUGUUUUCUACACUAUGUGAUAUGAAUAUCUGUAUGCAAAUACAGUCUUGGAUGUACAGAAAGUCUCAUAAACACAAUACAAGUCCUUUUACACAUGAAAAAUAUCAUUUAUACAAUAAAUUCUUACAUACUAUCACAUCAAAGUUUGACAUUUCAAGAAUCGCUAUCAGAAUCAUAUAUAGAACUUUAAUUUUGAUUCCACUCAUAAAUAUCAA